CAGUAGCUCAGUCGGAUAGAGCAACUGCCUUCUAAGCAGUGGGUCGCGGGUUCAAUUCCUGCCUGG
rnacentral:tRNA from 1 species